GCUUGUCUCAAAGAUUAAGCCAUGCACGUCUAAGUAUAAGCGAUUAUACUGUGAAACUGCGAAUGGCUCAUUAUAUCAGUUAUAGUUUAUUUGAUGGUCCUUGCUACUUGGAUAACCGUAGUAAUUCUAGAGCUAAUACAUGCAUAAAUCCCCGACUGCUUGGAAGGGGUGUAUUUAUUAGAUGGAAACCAAUUCGGGGUAACCCGGUUUAUGGUGAUUCAUAAUAAUUCUCGGAUCGGACGUUCGUCCGAUGCAUCAUUCAAGUUUCUGCCCUAUCAGCUCUGGAUGGUAGGGUAUUGGCCUACCAUGGCAUUAACGGGUAACGGAGAAUUAGGGUUCGAUUCCGGAGAGGGAGCCUGAGAGACGGCUACCACAUCCAAGGAAGGCAGCAG
rnacentral:rRNA from 1 species